ACUAAAUAUGUAUAGGUCAAUGUUCCGAGGUGUUAUAUAGUGCUAGCAAGUCCCUAGCUACCCCCAAAUACUCCAGACCAUUCUCCUGUUAAUAUCCCUCGUCAGUAGAGCAACCUUCCAAGGUUGCCAAGAGAUACCAACCUCAAUAGCAUUUUGUUUUUCAUGUUAGAUUUUAAUUAGUUUAGUCCUAUUGUAUGGAUUUUCCUUUAUUGAAUGGGAUUAUUACCUGUUUUUAUGUAUGUUUUGGCCAGUUAUCUAAGACCCACUCAUUAUACAGGUACAAAUACAUUUUUGAACUCUAGGUAACUACUCUCAGAAGAUAAGUCAACUUACAAAUGCAGGCCCAGAGACCUAUUCAAAUUCAAAUGUUGUUUCACAUUGUCAGGAUAUACAUAUUCUUGUGUUUUUCAAAAAUAUACACAUUCAAUGCGACAAAGUCAAGUCGCUGAGAAAAAUGGCAUUUUGAGAAGACAAACAAUGAAUUGACAAUUUUUGUUUAUAUAUUUUCCAUUAUCUAGUGAUACCUUUGGGUUACAUACAAUCCACAAUGUCUAAGUUGGGCAACAUUCAGGUGGAAGGUUAUAGUAGCAUUUUAGUCACAAAAUUCCUAGUUACUUUAUAAGUGAAACUAGUGGUUAAAGAAACAAACUACAUUUUUAUGGUUCAAAGGUAAAAUUUUGAUAUUUUGUUUAUCAUUGAGGCCUCAACAUCCUCCUGUGAC
rnacentral:lncRNA from 1 species